rnacentral:piRNA from 1 species
GAAACUCUAAGUGGCUUUGUGCAAA